UCCAAUUGAAGCAGAGGACAGUGGCGGACGGGUGAGUAACGCGUGAGGAACCUGCCUUUCAGAGGGGGAUAACAUUUGGAAACAGAUGCUAAUACCGCAUGACACAUAGGUGUCGCAUGGCACUUAUGUCAAAGAUUUAUCGCUGAAAGAUGGCCUCGCGUCUGAUUAGAUAGUUGGUGGGGUAACGGCCUACCAAGUCGACGAUCAGUAGCCGGACUGAGAGGUUGAACGGCCACAUUGGGACUGAGACACGGCCCAAACUCC
rnacentral:rRNA from 1 species